CUCGUGCAUUUGUAGGAGCUGCCCUUGCGCUCUGGCAACAUCUUGGAGCCAUAAUAUAUAAAACGAAAUUAUGUUUAAUAAUAUUUUCAACGAAAUAAAGACAUGCCUUCGAUUAUACUCGCUCGCCUGAUUAAUUUGAUGUAUUAUUUAUUAAAACCGGGAGCUACCACCCUGUCAAGCGAUUUUCCCGUUACUUUGGAAAGGCGGCGCAGCACGACAACAAACUUUAAGCAAACGAAGCAGCUAGUUUGUUUGUAUUAAGCAUAAUAGAAGCGAUCAUCAUGUCUUAAAACGUAAUUACAGUACCCAGCCGUUUAACAAGUGGGAAAUAUACGCAAAAUAAAAAAUGCUAAAAAUUGGCCCCCUGUUCAAGAUUCCACCGUUCCGCCAGCGCCUCUAAGUCACCGACUCUAAUUUGACGGACGUCAUGCACACGCAUUGCUAAUGAACUUUCAAAACUUCGGUCACACUUCGAAGAAUACGAUUUUUCGACUAGUGAAACUAUUAACCGAUCUGAGAAAUAGUCUUAAACAACGAAAAGGAUUGGACGUCUUUUACGAUAUCAUAUAGCUGGCGCCGGAUUAAGAAAUUUGUGACCGAAGUUUUCAAAGUUCACCCGCAAUGCAUGUAGCAUGGUCUUAC